UUAAGAAUUAGAAGACAAAAAAAAAAAGGUCAGCACUCCGGUACCCAUCAAAUUUUAUGGGGUACCGGUACCCAUGUGACAUGUAAUGUUUUGAUUGGUCCACUUAAUUUAUAUUAAUUUUAUUAUAAACAAUUAUUAUAUUAAUAAAUAUUAUACUAAUAAAUUUAUGAAAUUGUAACAUCUCCCACAACCUCACUUUCUAUUCUUCAUUUUCGUUAUUUCAAACAUACUCCCCUGUAACCGUCGACUUGACUUUCUUCUUCGUCUUCUCUAAAUUUCUCUGCAACUGAUUUUAUUGAGUAUUAGAAAAGAGAAGAGUAUCUCGCAGUUACCGACGACAUCCUUCCGCCACACCUCUUCUUUAUCGAAUCGCCCUUUGUGGUUCUUCUGAUGCCGGAAUAGUACAUAAGAAAGUUGUUGAAACGGUAAAAGCACCAGCAGCAUUGGGACCAUAUUCCCCAGCAAACAAAGUCAAUAGCCUUCUAUUUGUAUCUGGUGUACUUCGCCUUGUUCCCAGAUAAUAAAUGGGACAAGAGUAAUCAAUGUAAAGUUGACGUUCAAUCCAUAAAUAUUACAAUUUGUUAAGCAAACAUGAAUUAUGGUGGAGAUAUUAAUGAUGUGAAAAAUGAUAUUACCUUUGGAAACAAAAAGUGAUGUGAAUAGAGGCAAAAAUAAUGUUACAAUAUGGAGUAUAUGCUGGAAUACUAUUUUGUACGUAGUUUUGGAGUGAAUUAUAGAUACUAGAGUGGUGUGAGUGGAGGAGGAUAAUAGGAGUGGUGGUGAGCAGUUAUUGAGUGGUUAAGUUACUUACUACUGGAAAAUGCUUGAUGAGGUGAACGUGUUCAUCGAAUUUCACGGAAAAUGUUGAAUGGUAUGAUUAAGUUGUUCACUAUAAAUGUUGAAUGCUAGGUCUUUAUGUAUAAGUUUUAAUAGAAGGUAAAAUAAUCUAUCAUACUCUUACGGUCGGUGUAUAUUGAUCCGAGCUACUCAUACGCUGUCUUAGUUCCCGCUCUUGGUGCAAUAAAAGUUGUUCGGGCUCUUUCACUCCUAAAUUCAAGCAGUGAGCUUGCUUUGGCAAAUAAUAUGUAUUAACCGGCUACUCCAA